rnacentral:rRNA from 1 species
UACGUAGGGGGCAAGCGUUGUCCGGAAUCAUUGGGCGUAAAGCGCGCGUAGGCGGCUCGGUAAGUCUGCUCUGAAAGCCCGGGGCUCAACCCCGGGAGGCGGGUGGAUACUGUCUAGCUCGAGUCCGGAAGAGGAGUGUGGAAUUCCUGGUGUAGCGGUGAAAUGCGCAGAUAUCAGGAGGAACACCAAUGGCGAAGGCAGCACUCUGGGACGUGACUGACGCUGAGGAGCGAAAGCGUGGGGAGCGAACAGG